GACGAACGCUGGCGGCGUGCUUAACACAUGCAAGUCGAACGAAGUGGCGAACUGGUGAGUAACGCGUAAUCAACCUGCCCUUCAGAGGGGGACAACAGUUGGAAACGACUGCUAAUACCGCAUACUGAAGGAGGGGAUUGCGUCGGAUUAGCUAGUUGGAGGGGUAACGGCCCACCAAGGCGAGGAUCAGUAGCCGGUCUGUGCGGAUGAACGGCCACAUUGGGACGUGGACACUGCCCGGACGCCUACGGGAGGCAGCAGUGUGGAAUCUUCCGCAAGGGACGGAAGUCUGACGGAGCACCGCCGCGUGAGUGAUGACGGCCGUCGGGUUGUAAAGCUCUGUUAAUCGGGACGCGGUACCGGAAUAGAAAGCCACGGCUAACUACGUGCCAGCCGCCGCGGUAAUUC
rnacentral:rRNA from 1 species